rnacentral:lncRNA from 1 species
UAAACAGUGGCUUAAACCCAAUAUGCAUAUGACAACAAUUAUGAGAGAUUAAAUUGUUUUACAAAGUCAGUUUAAAAUCCUAUCCACUUUAACGUACAAAAAUUGGUUAUAUUCAUACUUUAAUUUCAAUAAACUAUGACAUGAAGAUGGGAAAAAACUAAUACAAUGAACCACAUUAUACAAAUAAUAUCUAAUUAAUUCUAAACCCCUUUCUAUGAGCUUCUAUGGGAACAAGCUGUCUCUGGCUGACUGUCCUUCUUAUUUCCAAACCAUUUCUUGAUUCACAAAGGAAUAACCAUUGGGAUAUCCUCUUAAACCAAAUUGGCUAUGAACAGAGCAAUCAGUUAGGAUUAAAUUACCCUGCUAACAUUACUUGAAACAGAAAAUACCAAUCUCAGUAUUUAGUCGGCUAUCAGCAGUAAACAUUAAACUAUCCAUUAACAUCUAACCAGUUGAAUAUCUAACUUUAACCUACUGAUACUUUCAAAGCUUAACAAAGAGGGAAUCUCAGGCCAAUUCAGCAACUAUACAUACUAGGUUCAAACAGUUGAAUAUAAUUAUUAGAGGAUGAAUAGUAUCACAACUUUAACAUGGAAGACCAUUCAAAACGAACUUAAUAAUUGCACAUGAUGAGUCUAUGCAGUUAAACAUAAUUAAGACAUAAACAAAUCAAAUUUUUAAUACAGCAUUCAAACAAGAGUAAUAUGGAUGUGUAAACAUACCUAACUUGCAAAGGAAUAACAAAAAGUAAUCAAAUAAUGUUCUGAAAAAAGAAGAUGAAGUCCAACAACUCCAGGAACAGUAGUAUAUAUCUACCACAGCUUCAGUAUCAGUUCAUAACUUAGCUCACGAAACCAUAACUCAAAGAAAAUUCCUUCCAGAUUUUUGUAAAAGAAAGAAAAAUAGGAAAACUGGAAGCUGAAUUUUUUGUUUUAGUCGAUUUUCAGGUCUGUAUGCUGCUGAGUGUGUGUGUGAGAAUGAGUGAAUGACUUUCUUUUUAUAGUGUAUAUCCAAAAUAGCAUCAAAUAAAUAUUCUACCCUAAAUUCCUUAGAUAGUACAACAUAUUUAACAGAGAAUAAUGGACAACUGUCCAUUUUUCAGCAUAUUUUAAAUAAUUCUGGAUAGCUGGUAUACUUUUAGAACCUUCCUUCUCCUAGAUAUUUUCUUCUAAAAUUUCUGAAAAUCAUCAUAAGUUUUUUUUAGUUCAAUUAGACCCUUACAAGUUUCUAGUGAUAUUCAAAUCAAGCAAACAGGGACAGGGCCAACAAUUAACCGAAAUCAAAUCAAAACAACAAUCAAACAAUAAAAUAGUGCAAUUUAAUCCUACAAUAUUAAGCAUCAGAAAACCUAAAUUAAACUAAACCCUAACAUGAAUCAAAUUGAUGGAAUCGGCAGGAAUUUCAUGCAAUGAAACUACUAAAACAAGCCAAUUCAUAUUAAAAUAAUCAAGAUGAACAAACACAUAAAACUGGAACACUGAAAAUCCUAAAUCUUGUAAACUGAAUAAGAAAACAAUUAUGAAGAAGAAGAAAGGAAGAAUAACAAAAGAAAGAAUAUAAAAUACCACAAAGACUCGUUUGAGACAGUUACGAACUCGGAUUGGACUGAUUAUUACUACUGACUAACUUAUUGGCUAACAAGAACAAUAAACAAACGAAAAAUAAAAUAAUAAAAAACCUAAAUGAGGCAGUAGUCUAAUAAGUUGAUAAACAAACAACAAAUGUGGUUUUUUUUCUUUUAGUUUUCUUAAACAUGAUUUAGAAUACUAGACGAACAGGCAAGGACAAGGUUGUACCUAUUUGAGAAACAGAGAAAGAGCUGAGGUGGUUCUCUGCUUGGGCUUCGAUAUAGCCCAAAAUUAACCUCAAAUGAUUUUUCUUGUUAAGAACAAACCAUUUGGGGUGAGUUUCAAACUACUCGAACGAAAACAUCACGAAGGAAUGAAACAUGCAAGAAACAACUGCUUUUUUUUUAUUUUCAGAUUUGGUAUUUGACUGGUUUGAGGGGUAUUUGGAGAAAAUAAAUUAUGGAUUUGGAAAGGAGCGGUAAAGGGUGUUGUAGGGUGAAGAUAUGGAGGUGUUUGGAGACCAGCCGCUGCCGUGAAAUGAUUUCUGGCGGGCAGCGGCUAGGGUUUGGGCCGUGAAAUUGGGAGCAUUUGAGGGUGGCUAGGGUUAGGCUUUAGGUCAGAGACGGGGAAAUGGG